rnacentral:rRNA from 1 species
UACGAGUGCUUCGAGCGUUAUCCGGAAUCAUUGGGCGUAAAGGGUGUGUAGGCGGUUUUGUUAGUCUCCUGUAAAAUUCCUCGGCUCAACCGAGGGCUCGCAGGGGAAACGGCAAGACUCGAGUUUGGAAGGGGUCUCUGGAACUCAUGGUGUAGCGGUGAAAUGCGUUGAUAUCAUGGGGAACACCAAAAGCGAAGGCAAGAGACUGGUCCAUUACUGACGCUGAAACACGAAAGCGUGGGUCGCGAAUGGG